rnacentral:rRNA from 1 species
GACGAACGCUGGCGGCGUGCUUAACACAUGCAAGUCGAACGGAAAGGCCCUGCUUUUGUGGGGUGCUCGAGUGGCGAACGGGUGAGUAACACGUGAGUAACCUGCCCUUGACUUUGGGAUAACUUCAGGAAACUGGGGCUAAUACCGGAUCGGAGCUCCUGCUGCAUGGUGGGGGUUGGAAAGUUUCGGCGGUUGGGGAUGGACUCGCGGCUUAUCAGCUUGUUGGUGGGGUAGUGGCUUACCAAGGCUUUGACGGGUAGCCGGCCUGAGAGGGUGACCGGCCACAUUGGGACUGAGAUACGGCCCAGACUCCUACGGUAGGCAGCGGUGGGGAAUAUUGCACAAUGGGCGGAAGCCUGAUGCAGCAACGCCGCGUGCGGGAUGACGGCCUUCGGGUUGUAAACCGCUUUCGCCUGUGACGAAGCGUGAGUGACGGUAAUGGGUAAAGAAGCACCGGCUAACUACGUG